CUCCCCCGGACCCCACUCCUCCUUAAGAACCCCCGCCCCUGAGCCCACCCUGGUGUCUCUCUCCUAGAAUUCUUCUCUCUGCGGCAAGAAUCCCAAAAUUUCCCCUCCUUCUGGUCCGAAUUCCGCCGCCCCGAUCUCCGGAGAUGGAGAAUUCCGGCUUCCUCUCGUGCGAGAAGCUCGACCGCUUGGCGAAUUGGCUCGGGGCGAGCGUCUCCUCGGCCUUCUUCGCCUCCCUGGAGCGCUGCUCGUGCAUCAAUCUCAGCACCACCGACAACGAGGACGACGCCCAGCCGGAGGAGGCCAAGGGUCGCCCUCUCAUGCUCACCAAGCCCAUCUCCCAUGAUGCCCCUGACGAGGCCCCCAAGCCCGGUCCCUAAAACCCUAAUUCCGACAAGCUCCCUGGGUCUGAAACCGCCUCUCUCGCUGGUGUUAUCUUUCCAGGAUCGUAAUCGAUGUAAACGAUGUUAUUGAUGCUCCUUGUCUAUGUCAGGUUUAGUUGUUUGCAGAGUCUUCGAUGUGGUUAUAUAAGGAUAGAUCUAUGUUUAGAUGAAAAUUUGUUUUCUUUCUUGUUCUGAAUAAUCUUGUGGCUUCUUUAAAAUUUCUUUGGGUGUGCAAAGUUGUUAUUUUGUUGAAUUUUUGUAUACUUUUCAGAAUGGUAGAGUAGUACAAAAACUUGUACAUAAUUAUUCAUGCUUCCUUUUUUAUUCUGUUCAAAUAUAUCCGGUAUUGGCCGAA
rnacentral:lncRNA from 1 species